rnacentral:rRNA from 1 species
UUGCAUGUGCACUCCUAACCUAACAUCCAUCCACCUGUGCACAUUCUGUAGGCAAGAAAGCAAGAUGGGGUUUCAUUGUCCCUCCUGCUCAUUGCCUAUGAUUUUUACAUACACCAAAGUACAGUUGAAGAAUGUAAUAAAAGAAAUAUUUAAAACAACUUUCAACAAUGGAUCUCUUGGUUCUCGCAUCGAUGAAGAACGCAGCGAAUUGCGAUAUGUAAUGUGAAUUGCAGAAUUCAGUGAAUCAUCGAAUCUUUGAACGCACAUUGCACCCUCUCGAUACAGGAGGGUAUGCCUGUUUGAGUGUCAUUUAUUCCUCAACACAACUAAGUUGUCAUGACUUAACUUGUGCUUGGAUGUUGAAGGUAUGCUGGCACAAACCAUGUCAGCUCCUUUUAAAUAUAUGAGCAGGACAACAAGUANCCAGCUCCAAUUUGAUAAGUAGUUAUCUGUGUUGUUGCUGAGUACAAUUGAAUGUCUGCUACCAAUUGUCCUACUUUUGGGACUUGCCUUCUGGGCAAAUCUAUUGAAAUUUGACCUCAAAUCAGGUAGGACUACCCGCUGAACUUAAGCAUAUCAAUAA